AGCAGGAAAGCAGGGGACCGCAAGGCCCUGCGCUCUUUGAGCGGCCGAUGUCAGAUUAGCUAGUUGGUGAGGUAAAGGCUUACCAAGGCGACGAUCUGUAGCGGGUCUGAGAGGAUGAUCCGCCACACUGGAACUGAGACACGGUCCAGACUCCUACGGGAGGCAGCAGUGGGGAAUUUUGGACAAUGGGGGCAACCCUGAUCCAGCCAUGCCGCGUGAGUGAAGAAGGCCUUCGGGUUGUAAAGCUCUUUCGGCCGGGAAGAAAUCGCAUGGGCCAAUACCCUGUGUGGAUGACGGUACCGGAAUAAGAAGCACCGGCUAACUACGUGCCAGCAGCCGCGGUAAUACGUAGGGUGCGAGCGUUAAUCGGAAUUACUGGGCGUAAAGCGUGCGCAGGCGGUUUUGUAAGACAGGCGCGAAAUCCCCGGGCUUAACCUGGGAACUGCGUUUGUGACUGCAAGGCUAGAGUACGGCAGAGGGGGGUGGAAUUCCACGUGUAGCAGUGAAAUGCGUAGAGAUGUGGAGGAACACCAAUGGCGAAGGCAGCCCCCUGGGUCGAUACUGACGCUCAUGCACGAAAGCGUGGGUAGCAAACAGGAUUAGAUACCCUGGUAGUCCACGCCCUAAACUAUGUCAACUAGGUGUUGGGUGGGUAAAACCAUUUAGUACCGUAGCUAACGCGUGAAGUUGACCGCCUGGGGAGUACGGCCGCAAGGUUAAAACUCAAAGGAAUUGACGGGGACCCGCACAAGCGGUGGAUGAUGUGGAUUAAUUCGAUGCAACGCGAAAAACCUUACCUACCCUUGACAUGCCAGGAACUUGCCAGAGAUGGCUUGGUGCCCGAAAGGGAGCCUGGACACAGGUGCUGCAUGGCUGUCGUCAGCUCGUGUCGUGAGAUGUUGGGUUAAGUCCCGCAACGAGCGCAACCCUUGUCGUUAAUUGCCAUCAUUUAGUUGGGCACUUUAACGAGACUGCCGGUGACAAACCGGAGGAAGGUGGGGAUGACGUCAAGUCCUCAUGGCCCUUAUGGGUAGGGCUUCACACGUCAUACAAUGGUCGGUACAAAGGGUUGCCAAGCCGCGAGGCGGAGCCAAUCCCAGAAAGCCGAUCGUAGUCCGGAUUGCAGGCUGCAACUCGCCUGCAUGAAGUCGGAAUCGCUAGUAAUCGUGGAUCAGCAUGUCACGGUGAAUACGUUCCCGGGUCUUGUACACACCGCCCGUCACACCAUGGGAGCGGGUUCCGCCAGAAGUAGGUAGCCUAACCGCAAGGGGGGCGCUUACCACGGCGGGGUUCGUGAC
rnacentral:rRNA from 1 species